GCGGGGGUUGCCAAGUCAGGUUAGGCGCAAGGUUGAGGGCCUUGUCCCGUAGGGGUUCGCGAGUUCAAAUCUCGUCCCCCGCA
rnacentral:tRNA from 1 species